CGUGAGCGGCGGACGGGUGAGUAACGCGUGGGUAACCUACCUCAUACGAGGGGAUAACAGUUAGGAACGGCUGCUAAUACCGCAUAAGCGCACAGUACCGCAUGGUACCGUGUGAAAAACUCCGGUGGUAUGAGAUGGACCCGCGUCUGAUUAGCUAGUUGGUGGGGUAACGGCCUACCAAGGCGACGAUCAGUAGCCGACCUGAGAGGGUGACCGGCCACAUUGGGACUGAGACACGGCCCAA
rnacentral:rRNA from 1 species